rnacentral:rRNA from 1 species
AGAGUUUGAUCCUGGCUCAGAUUGAACGCUAGCGGGAUGCCUUACACAUGCAAGUCGAACGGCAGCACGGACUUCGGUCUGGUGGCGAGUGGCGAACGGGUGAGUAAUGUAUCGGAACGUGCCUAGUAGCGGGGGAUAACUACGCGAAAGCGUAGCUAAUACCGCAUACGCCCUACGGGGGAAAGCAGGGGAUCGCAAGACCUUGCACUAUUAGAGCGGCCGAUAUCGGAUUAGCUAGUUGGUGGGGUAAUGGCUCACCAAGGCGACGAUCCGUAGCUGGUUUGAGAGGACGACCAGCCACACUGGGACUGAGACACGGCCCAGACUCCUACGGGAGGCAGCAGUGGGGAAUUUUGGACAAUGGGGGAAACCCUGAUCCAGCCAUCCCGCGUGUGCGAUGAAGGCCUUCGGGUUGUAAAGCACUUUUGGCAGGAAAGAAACGUCAUGGGCUAAUAC